rnacentral:rRNA from 1 species
UCGUACGAGAAAGGGAUUCGUCCCCGGUAAAGUGGCGAACGGGUGCGUAACACGUAGGUAACCUUCCCUGGAGCGGGGGAUAACAGACCGAAAGGUUUGCUAAUACCGCAUAAGACCACGAUUUGAAAUAGUCGUGGUAAAAGCUGGCCUCUUCAUGAAAGCUAGCACUUCAGAAUGAGCCUGCGGCCCAUCAGCUAGUUGGUAAGGUAAUGGCUUACCAAGGCAAAGACGGGUAGCUGGUCUGAGAGGAUGAUCAGCCACACUGGCACUGAAACACGGGCCAGACUCCUACGGGAGGCAGCAGUGGGGAAUCUUGGUCAAUGGGCGCAAGCCUGAACCAGCGACGCCGCGUGAGUGAUGAAGGCCUUCGGGUUGUAAAGCUCUGUGGGGAAGAAAGAAAAAAUCAUAGGCGAACAGGCUAUGAUCUUGACGGUACUUCCUUAGCAAGCACCGGCUAACUCUGUGCCAGCAGCCGCG